AUUAGGAUCAAAGAUAUGAAUUUUACGGUAACCGUAUGCCAAUAGGUUCUUAAAUAUUGCUUUGCAAUCAUUCAGUCUAUUUGGAUGUCGGAUCUUAUUACUAGAUGGUUACAUCAAUUAGUAUAAAAAUUUAUUUCUAUGCUACUGGCUUAGGUUCAAACUAUGGCAUCAUAUACAUUAAAAAUUUUGAUCUGAUUAGA
rnacentral:lncRNA from 1 species